AUCACCUGAGGAUCUUGUUAAUAUGCAGAUUCAGGAGUGCUGGAGUGGUGCCUGAGGUUCUGCAUUUCUAACAAGUUCCUGGGUGAUG
rnacentral:miRNA from 1 species